rnacentral:tRNA from 1 species
GGAAUUGUGGCUCAGAGGUAGAGCGCUUGCCUAGUGUGCAUGAGACACUGGGUUCGAUCCUCGGCACCA